rnacentral:misc_RNA from 1 species
AAAAAAAGUCACUUUGCUUAUGAACAGGAAAGUUCUUUGAGCAAGGUAAUAAUUUAAUCUCAGUUAAUCUUUGUCAGUAAAGGAUUAAUAUAUAUUCACAAUUUAAGGAAGGCAGGUUGGUUUGCUGUCUCCAUUCUUAAUUGCUUUUGUAGUUGAUGUCUUGAGUAGGAUGAUUGAUACAGUGCUCAAAGGGAAUUGAUUCAUGGUGUCAAUCCAAUUUAUUUCUUAACUACUAGCCUUGACCAACUUAUAUCCUCUAUUUAUUUUAAAUUAUUUUUUUUUAUCGAGUUUUAUACUGUAAAGGAAAAUAAGGUGCUUUUUUGUUCUUUUCAGGUUUGAAAAAUCCACUUACAUUG